ensembl:lncRNA
AUUUCAGCAAACUUUCCCUGAAGCUAAUGAAAUUUAUUCAACUCAAGACUGUUCAAAGUGAUUCUAGAAGAUGCUGAUCAUUCAGGUCCCCUGUUCUGGUUUUCUUCCCAAAGUCUCUUCAGCAAGCUCAAGAGUCACUUGUACAUAUAUCAGGAAACUUUAAAAUAGGUCUAGAUUUGUUUGAAAUACACAUUGUGUGCUGGGAAAAUCAGACCUGUAACCACAUGAAUAAUGUGGUUGUGCAUGCAGUUGUGUAAAUUUCCUAACCAAAAGACAGAAGAUGAAGCAUUGGUCCAGUAAGGGUACUGCAUUGUGUUGCUAAAAGAAAUUUAAGAAUUAGAAACACCUUUAAUUAAAAGUACAUAUUCAGAAAUCCUGGGGCAUUUAGCAUCUGAAUGAAGGAUGACCAGCUUCUAGAGGUAAUUCUUUUACCCCAGUAGCAAAUUGUGCUCUCUCUAAGACAAAAAAGGGAAGACAAACUAAAACAUUCUAAGGAGUGAAAACCGAAUUUGUCAGUUUAUUUUUCAUGUAGAAAAUGUCAGCUCCCCUACAUUUAUCUUCUCAUGGUUUCUCACCCGAGUUAUAGUUACUUUUGCAUUCUGUGACAUUAAGUAAAGAAGUACGUGUGGAAUCUUCUUUUCUAACUUAACUUUUCUCUCUUAAAUGUGACUCUCAUUAAGAGAACAAAACAGAACAAACAAAACCCACAAAACAAAGAAACAAACAAAACCCAGAAAAAUGAUUAACUAUUCUACAACCAUUUUGAUCAUACUCUAAAGCCCAAGUCAUGCAUAAAGAGCAAUCUUUAAGUUCCACAGUUUUAAAAAUAACUGAACACAUCUAAUCCUAGGUGUUCCAAUCCCAUGUGUUAGCUGGCAGAACUCAGAAAAUAAUCUUAUUCUGUAUUUGCAUUUUAAUUUUCUUCUAACAAUUUGCAAUAUAGAUUUUCAUACAGAGAAUUCUUCUCUUUUUUUUUUUUUAUAAACAGAUGUCACUCUAGCUGUCAUUUCAAAGAUGUGUGACUGAAUUUUUGAAAAUCUAAGUGAAAUGUUAGAAGUGACAUGAAGUGAAGCAAAUGAUUUGACUAUUGUCUCAAGUGUUCCGCUUUCCAUUUGGAUAAUAAUAAAAAAAAAUUAAAAUAAAUAAAAUUAAAUUAAAACCUUGAAGAUAUUAUCCUGUAAUCAUAAUAGUAAUCUUUCUUUAACACCUAAAAUUGCUAAAGGUCCUAUGCAAGCAUUAAUUAAUUCAGUGUCCACAACCUUUAGAUGCUAAUGAUUACCUUACAGAGCUAAGUCAAUUUCUGUUUCUAUGUGUGAGGGCUACAUUUCCUCCAUGUAUGCACAUGCACUGAAUAUACAGUCAUUUGUCAGUCUCUAAUAAGAAACAGAAGUGACAUCUGUCAUGCAUUCCAGUAAACACAUUAAGCAAACAAACACAAUAGGACCCCAAAAUGUUGACUCAAGUUCUCUAAUUAAUUGUGACUUGUCGUAACAGGUUUUUCUAUGAAUUACAUGGAAAAAUCCAUGCUCUCUCCUCCCCCUGCUGUAGCUUUUUGUGCAGUGGGAAAAUAUUUAAACUAAAGACUUCCCUUCUGGCCCUGCCAAGGUGCAUUUUUUCCUCAUAGACUUGACUUGCAGUAGAAGUUGAUGUGAGAGUUUGUCACGGCUGUUUUGACAGUCCGGUCAUCCUAAUCCAGGGAUCUGGUCCCUGUGGUUUGUCAAUUAUCCUACUAACCCUACAGCGAGAGGAACACUCAAGGCACUGAACUGUCAGCCACUAACCAAGAAAUAAUGUCAGCAGCCAGUGAGCAGGGAUUGUGAGAGAUGGGGAUUCUUUUGACAACAGAGAAGUGUGGAUCAUUUCAGCGUUUAUUUUAUUUAUAGGCAUUCGUAACAAAUUAAUUAUAUUGCACUGCAAGGCUUCACUAAAACUUGCUGGAUCCAGACUUGCAAGCACGCACAGAAUGAUGAGCGCAAUGGAAUGCAGAGAUUGCAGCACCGCUGAUCCAGAUGCAGAGGUUCGAUUCCCACUUUCUUCCACCCCCCUCCUGUGACCUUGAGCUUGUUACUUGACUUGGAUAUGUUUCAAUAUCCCUCUGGAUAAACUGAGGAUAAAAGCAUCCGUUCUUAAGAGCAGACAGAGCCUUAAUCAAUUAAUGCCUGUAAAGGACAUUAAGACCAUUUAGCAAAAGGCAGAAUUAAAGUGCAAAUUAUGCUAAAGUCUCACUGAAAUGAAAAGCAAAUGCAUUUAAGUGGAUUUACAUGGAGAAGGGUAGACAGUGAAUAAAAUCUAGGUGGAGGAUUACAGCAGCUUGAUUCUGAUCCAGUGCGUAUCAGGAUAAUUUGGCUUAACCCCCCACUUAAUACUAACAAAGCAGGCUCUGCUCUGGAUUCUCACUUGGCAUAAAGUUACGUGGAAUGAUGACUGCAUCAAUUUCACCAACUCAGGGUUCAAAUUUUUGGCUGUUGGCAUCUUUUCCUAAUUAUAUAUGUAUUAUUAU